UGCAAGGAGCUGUGGGACUCAUUUCUGAUACAAGGUUGGGAGGAAUCAACAUCACUCUCACAGGGUUGUUUGUUUGCACUGUGUUUAGGUUGCCUAAUGAACCACUCUUCACUGCUCGAAUAUAGAAGCCAGAAGGCAGGUCGUGUUCUAAGCUCUUCAUCCACUGAGCCCAAAUGUGGCCUUCAGGCCUUUAAAGUGUGAGACAAGGAUCUCAAGGGAAGGACACAAUGGCAGCAAAAAGAAAACAGACACUAACAUUGCCUGAGUGAGCAUGUCCCAUUCCAGGCCCUGGAAGACAAACAAAUAAAGCAGAGGAAACACGUUGUAACAUCGGUAACAGCUGCAGUCAACACUCCUGCAGUUGAACGAAAACCUACACGAAGCCCCAGCCCAUCUGAGCAUAAGGAAUCGUGUUCUGCAGCUCACUAGCAACUCUCACAGAACUGCAUGAGUGUGAAUUGUUCAAGCUGUUCUUCACAUGUCUCAUCUGCAGCAGGAAGUGCUAAGGCCAAGCUCAUGAAUAAAUGUGGAUUUUGCAAAACACUGGGAGAUUUGGAAUUUCCAAGCAGUAAAAAACAACAUGGAGGAGGGAGUAAUAUUAGCAGUAAUGGGUACUUUCAGGAUGCCUAUGAUAGACAAGGAAAUAGAAAAUAUACUCCUGGCCAGGAGGUCUCAGAAGAGGAGCAACUUUUUAAAUCAAAGGGAAGCAGAAGUAUCCCGAAGAGUACAAGGAAAAGACUGGCAAGAGAAUUAGCUAGAAACAAUUCAAUUUAGAGAGAAUUUAGCUAUUACGUUGAUAGGUACUAAAGAAAAAUUCAAGACAGACAAAGCAUCAAAGCCACAAGGUAUCAAAAAGUAGAUAGAAAAACUUGUAUGAAAGAACUGGCUUGGGGAGAGGCUAAAGACAGCGAAGGAGAGCACAACACUUCCUGAUGGCCUCGCAGUUUACUACAGAUUGUUCUUAUUUAGGGUCUGUUCCUCUUCAGUGUGGAAGAGAGGCUCUCUCCCCCUCUGCUUUUGGAGUGAGAAAUGCAUCUCUGUGGCACUGUUCAACCUGCUCCCCCGGCUCCGGAAGUCACAGAGGUUAGAGAAUGAAUGAACAUCACACGCCACAACUUGCUAAACUCUCCAUUAACUUUUCUGUGUGCACCCCCCACUUCCCAUCUGUGUUGUGAAAUACCACUUCAUGGGAAGAUCUAUAUAAGAGAUCAAUAUCAUUAUCCUGUUGUUACUUUAUGUACAUUUACAUUAUUGUUUUUAAUCAAAAAUAAAAGGG